GACGCACGCUGGCGGCGUGCCUAAUACAUGCAAGUAGCACGCAGUUGCGAACGGGUGAGUAACGCGUAGGUAACUGCCUCAUAGCGGGGGAUAACUAUUGGAAACGAUAGCUAAUACCGCAUCCUGUGAGAUGGACCUGAGUUUUAUUAUUUAGUUGGUGAGGUAAAGGCUCACCAAGUCGACGAUACAUAGCCGACCCGAAAGGGUGAUCGACCCCACUGGGACUUAGACACGGCCCCGACGCCUACGGGAGGCAGCAGUAGGGAAUCUUCGGCAAUGGACGGAAGUCUGACCGAGCAACGCCGCGUGAGUGAAGAAGGUUUUCGGAUCGUAAAGCUCUGUUGUUAGAGAAGCGUUAACUAACCAGAAAGGGACGGCUAACUCCGUGCCUGCCGCCGCGGUAAUAC
rnacentral:rRNA from 1 species